ensembl:snRNA U6 U6 spliceosomal RNA
UUGUACUCAAUUAGGCAACAUAUAUACUAAAAUUGGAACAAUACAGAGAAGAUUAGCAUGGCCCUUUGGCAAGAAUUAUAAAUUUGGCAAAUUUGUAAAGACAAUUAAU